UCCGUAGGUGGAUAAUUAAGUCAGAGGUGAAAGUUUGCAGCUCAACUGUAAAAUUGCCUUUGAUACUGGUUAUCUUGAGUUAUUAUGAAGUAGUUAGAAUAUGUAGUGUAGCGGUGAAAUGCAUAGAUAUUACAUAGAAUACCAAUUGCGAAGGCAGAUUACUAAUAAUAUACUGACACUGAUGGACGAAAGCGUGGGUAGCGAACAGGAUUAGAUACCCUGGUAGUCCC
rnacentral:rRNA from 1 species